CCUACGGGAGGCAGCAGUGAGGAAUAUUGGUCAAUGGGCGCGAGCCUGAACCAGCCAAGUCGCGUGAAGGAUGACUGCCCUACGGGUUGUAAGCUUCUUUUAUAAAGGAAUAAAGUGAGGCACGUGUGCCUUUUUGUAUGUACUUUAUGAAUCAGGCUCGGCUAACUCCGUGCCAGCAGCCGCGGUAAUACGGAGGAUCCGAGCGUUAUCCGGAUUUCUUGGGUUUAAAGGGAGCGUAGAUGGGUUGUUAAGUCAGUUGUGAAAGUUUGCGGCUCAACCGUAAAAUUGCAAUUGAUACUGGCAGCCUUGAGUACAGGUGAGGUAGGUGGAAUUCGUGGUGUAGCGGGGAAAUGCUGAGAGAUUACGAAGAACUCCGAUUGCGAAGGCAGCUUACUAAACUGCCACUGACAUUGAUGCUCGAAAGUGUGGGGAGCAAACAGGAUUAGAUACCCCGGUAGUC
rnacentral:rRNA from 1 species